UACGUAGGUGCGAGCGUUGUCCGGAAUUACUGGGCGUAAAGAGCUCGUAGGUGGUUUGUCGCGUUGUCCGUGAAACUCACAACUCAAUUGUGGCGUGCGGGCGAUACGGCAGACUGGAGUACUGCAGGGGAGACUGGAAUUCCUGGUGUAGCGGUGGAAUGCGCAGAUAUCAGGAGGAACACCGGUGGCGAAGGCGGGUCUCUGGGCAGUAACUGACGCUGGAGGAGCGAAAGCGUGGGGAGCGAACAGGAUUAGACUA
rnacentral:rRNA from 1 species